rnacentral:rRNA from 1 species
UACGUAGGAUGCAAGCGUUAUCCGGAAUCAUUGGGCGUAAAGAGUGUGUAGGCGGUCAUUUAAGUUAAAUGUUAAAUCUCAGGGCUCAACUCUGGGGCUGCAUUUAAUACUGGGUGACUAUGAAGAUGGAAGAGGUAAGCGGAAUUAGUGGUGGAGCGGUGAAAUGCGUAGAUAUCACUAAGAACACCAAUGGCGAAGGCAGCUUACUGGGCCAUUCUUGACGCUGAGACGCGAAAGCGUGGGUAGCAAA